AUCACCUGGAGACCUUGUUAAAAUACAGGUUCUGAUACAGGAGGCCUGGGUGGGGCCUGAGAUUCUGCAUUUCUAACGAGUCCCCAGGUGAUGAUGU
rnacentral:pre_miRNA from 1 species